CUUAAGAGCAUGCGGCAACAGCUCAACCUGCUGUGAAGCUCAGAAGGAAGAGGCUGGCCCCUGAUAACAAUGGUGGAUCCUGCCCGGGCCCUAAACUGCCUGCCUCUGAACUGAUGGGUGAGAAAGACACGAGGAAUCUUCAGUAUCUGCCACUCCUCAGAAUCACAGACCACACUGGUGGAAGCAUCUUGUCGUCUCGAAACUACCGAUUUCCUUGCUUGUUCCUCUCAGGAUUAAAAACACGGCUACAAAGCAAAUUUGUUCAAGUGAGGAAGAGGAGAAGGAAUUGAUUUUGGAGUCACAUAGAUGCGGGGUCAAAUCCUACGAUGUUGGACAGAUCCAUUUCUCCUUCCUUCACGAACUUAUGGUUAACAAGUGCUCAGGAAGUUGGUCCCUUUAAGCAUACAUGAAAUAAAGAAUGCAGAGUCCUCCA